rnacentral:rRNA from 1 species
ACUAAACCUAGCCUAAUCUACACACCCUCACAACAUAAAUACACAAAAAAUGUAAAACAAAACAUUUAUAGUUUAAAAGUAUAGGUGAUAGAAAUUCAUUCAAGCGCUAUAGAGAUAGUACCGUAAGGGAAAGAUGAAAGAAGAAAUAAAAGUACAAAACAGCAUAGAUUACACCUAGUACCUUUUGCAUAAUGAGUUAACUAGAAUAAUUUGACACAAAGAACUUAAGUCAAACCUCCCGAAACCAAACGAGCUACUUUUAAACAGCUAAUUAAUGAGCAAACUCAUCUGUGUGGCAAAAUAGUGAGAAGAUUUAAAAGUAGAGGUGAAAAGCCUAUCGAGCUUGGAGAUAGCUGGUUAUCCAAAAAAGAAUUUCAGUUCAACUUUAAGUUUUCCCAAAACACUCUCAAAAUUCCAAUGAAAGCUUAUAUGUUAACUUAAGGGGGGACAGCUCCUUAAGCAAGGAUACAUCCUUUAGCAGAGGGUAAAAAACAACAUAACCAUAGUAGGCCUAAGAGCAGCCACCAAUUAAGAAAGCGUUCAAGCUCAACACAACUCUUUCAAAACUAUACCCAAAAUAUUAUUCACCCCCUGCCACAGACAAUUGGAUUAAUCUAUAGAUAUAUAGAAGAGAUAAUGUUAACAUCAGUAACUAGAACAACUUCUCCUUGCACAAGCUUAAGUCAAACAGUUUUACCUAAUUAACAGCCUUAUAACAUAUACACUUAACCAGCUAAUUAUAUACAUAUAUACUGUAGACCCAACCCAGGAGUGCAAUAAGGAAAGACUUAAAUAAGCAAAAGGAACUCGGCAAACACAAACCCCGCCUGUUUACCAAAAACAUCACCUCUAGCAUAACAAGUAUUAGAGGCCCUGCCUGCCCAGUGACCAUUAGGGUUAAACGGCCGCGGUAUCCUGACCGUGCAAAGGUAGCAUAAUCACUUGUUCUUUAAAUAAGGACUAGUAUGAAAGGCUUGACGAGGGUUUAACUGUCUCUUGCUUACAGUCAGUGAAAUUGACCUUCCCGUGAAGAGGCGGGAAUAAGACAAUAAGACGAGAAGACCCUAUGGAGCUUAAAUCUAUUAAUUCAACUUUACACUACCAAUCUAUAAGAAGCAAAAAACAAAUUAUGAAUUAACAAUUUUGGUUGGGGUGACCUCGGAGCAAAAACAAACCUCCGAAUGAUAUUAACCUAGACACACAAGUCGAAGUUUCCAUCAUAAAUUGACCCAGUAAUUAUCUGAUCAACGAACCAAGUUACCCUAGGGAUAACAGCGCAAUCCUAUUCUAGAGUUCAUAUCGACAAUAGGGUUUACGACCUCGAUGUUGGAUCAGGACCCCCAAAUGGUGCAACCGCUAUUUAAGGUUCGUUUGUUCAACGAUUAAAGUCCUACGUGAUCUGAGUUCAGACCGGAGUAAUCCAGGUCGGUUUCUAUCUAUUAAAAAUUUCUCCCAGUACGAAAGGACAAGAGAAAUGAGGCCAAUAACACAAUUAUGCCUUAAUAGCAAAAGAAUGAUAUUAUAUCAACUCCUUAGCUAUUAAUAUACGCGCCCAAGACAAGGGCCG